GCGUCUGUAGCCUAGUUGAUUAAAGGCAGCACUCUAGCAUGUGCCUCAGAUACUGAGGUUGUGAGUUUGAAUCUCACCAGACACA
rnacentral:tRNA from 1 species